GACGAACGCUGGCGGCGUGCCUAAUACAUGCAAGUAGAACGCUGAAGGAGGAGCUUGCUUCUCUGGAUGAGUUGCGAACGGGUGAGUAACGCGUAGGUAACCUGCCUGGUAGCGGGGGAUAACUAUUGGAAACGAUAGCUAAUACCGCAUAAGAGUAGAUGUUGCAUGACAUUUGCUUAAAAGGUGCAAUUGCAUCACUACCAGAUGGAGCUGCGUUGUAUUAGCUAGUUGGUGAGGUAACGGCUCACCAAGGCGACGAUACAUAGCCGACCUGCGAGGGUGAUCGGCCACACUGGGACUGAGACACGGCCCAGACUCCUACGGGAGGCAGCAGUAGGGAAUCUUCGGCAAUGGACGGACGUCUGACCGAGCAACGCCGCGUGAGUGAAGAAGGUUUUCGGAUCGUAAAGCUCUGUUGUAAGAGAAGAACGAGUGUGAGAGUGGAAAGUUCACACUGUGACGGUAUCUUGCCAGAAAGGGACGGCUAACUACGU
rnacentral:rRNA from 1 species